rnacentral:misc_RNA from 1 species
AAUUUGGCUCCACACAACUUUGGAGUGCAUUCAAGUUGCCUUGGCAGCCACAGGAGCACUUCGGGCAAGAAACAAUUGUGUCGUUGUAAAAUGACGACAGCGAGACACAGCAAGUAGGAGUUUUUUGGGCCAGAAAUUGUGAAUAUGUGCAUGUAACAUUCCAUGUCAUCAAUGCCUGUGUAACUCUCCGUUUGUCGGGGGAAACGAAUUUG